UCCGAAGUGAGCCGACAAUUAAUGAAUGAAUAAUUCCUGAAUUAUUCUCAUUUGAUGUGAGUGGCUGACCUUACGGAGGAGGGGUGGGGGUUUCUCCGAGCAGACAGCGAUGGAUGCUGGGAGGAGGGAGGGAGGGAGGGAGGGAGGGGGUGGUGGCUUAUUCCUGAGCUCAGGGCCGAGGAUUAGGCAGAGAGCAGCCCCAGUACGAUGACAGCAUCCAGCACGUAGCCAAACCCCCCGCACUCCAACAUCACCAACAUCCUCUGGACGCCGCGGAUACCUUUUAUUCCCCACAAACCGACACCGUCUCCCCCGAAAUCCUCCGCAUCUUUCGGGGGGAUAAAAACCCCCUCAGACCGCCGCUCCGUCCGACUCCUCCUCAGACCACGAGGUGGCCGCACCAGAUCGGGAUUGGCCCUGAUGAUCACAAAGAACCCUCUCCACCUCCUUUCAGCCAAUCCUGGAGGGCCUACAGAGCUGAUGUCUCAGAGGACGCGAGGGUACGUGUGUUGUGGAGUCCUGAAGAGACAAGCUACAUCACGUGAUCGAAGGGGGGCGGAUGUGUCAGUGAUCACACUCGUGCAGCUGUCAUCUACCUCGUCUCUCUGAGCCUUCUUCAUUCACGUCAAUCUGCCUCAAUCCGGAUAAGCAGGAGGUGCUAAAGUGACACCCUGACCAAUGCAGGCCAGUGCAGAGCGAAUGCCUCUAAUCCUCUUAAAGCACAGACCUACACUACAUGCUUUACU
ensembl:lncRNA